UCUUCAGAAGUGUUUAAUCUAUGUUUGUUGUCGGACUUACUUCGUAGGUUUGGUAUAAACACAGGUGAGUUGGUUAUAGAUUCACUAUGUAUUAAAUUCGGUAAAUUCGGAGUAUUCGUAUACGCUUGAACAGACAUGAAAUAACAAAAUGUCGCUCAGAAAGGCUAAUUUAAUAAACAAAAUUUGGAAGCCUUUCGGCGAGCGAUUGGAGUGAUUGUUAAUUACAAUCCAACAAAACAAUCAAGUAAUUUCUGAACCAAGGAGACAAAAUCCCAGUUUUAAUUUGAUCCUUCUAUGAUCUCUUGUUUAAGGCGGAAUGUGCUGUUGACAUAGGGAGAUG